rnacentral:pre_miRNA from 1 species
GAUUUCAGCUGAAAAAGUCAUCAACAAAGUUGUAUAACUCAUCAAGAUCUAUAACUUUUAUUUUGGUCAUUUCUUCAUCCGACAAAGUUAUUUAUAAGAUUGUUCACGAAAUGUACAUCUCUCUUAUAUAGUUUUAUUUUGUGAACAAUCUUAUAAAUAACUUUGUCGGAUGAAGAAAUAACCAAAAUAAAAGUUAUAUAUCUUGAUGAGUUAUACAACUUUGUUAUUGAUGUCUUUUUCAGAUGAAAUC